rnacentral:rRNA from 1 species
GCACAAGCAGCGGAGCGUGUGGUUUAAUUCGAUGCUACGCGAAGAACUUACCCGGGUUUGCAUACAGGUAGUAGGGAACUGAAAGGGGACCGACCCUUCGGGGAGCCUGAACAGGUGCUGCAUGGCUGUCGUCAGCUCGUGUCGUGAGAUGUCCGGUUAAGUCCGGUAACGAGCGCAACCCUUGCCGUAUGUUACAAGUGUCAUACGGGACUGCCGGUAUCAAGCCGGAGGAAGUGGGAUGACGUCAAGUCAGCAUGGCCUUUAUAUCCGGGGCUACACACACGCUACAAUGGUCAGUACAAUAGGUUGCAAAGCCGCGAGGUGGAGCCAAUCCAUAAAGCUGGCCUCAGUUCAGAUCGUAGUCUGCAACUCGACUACGUGAAGUCGGAAUCGCUAGUAAUCGUGGAUCAGAAUGUCACGGUGAAUACGUUCCCGGGUCUU